AUGCCAGUGAGCUACACGGCUUUGAGAAACUCUAACUGGGAUUUCAUAGUUGAUAAAUAUCUCCUUAGAUUUGAUGCCUGGGUUGGUAAUACUGCUUAUAUGGGAGGGAGACACACCCUUCUAGACUCAAUAGUUACUCAACUCUCUCUGUACCACAUAUCUAUGUGGCUGAUGAACGAAACUUUUGUGAAAAAAUUGGACAAACAUAGAAGAAGAUUCUUCUGGCAAGGGUGUAUUAAAAAACGGAGAUAUCACUUGAUCAGAUGGAACAAGAUAUGUAGAUCUAAAGAGAAAGGGGGGCUGGGUAUUAAAGACCUACGCAAACAAAAUAUUAAUCUGAUGCUCAAGUGGUGGUGGAAGUUAGACACCCAGAAAGGGAUAUGGCAAGAUAUUGUUCGGGCUAGAUACCUUCGCAACCAAACCGUUGCAACUGUUAGCCCUCGUUUUUCUGAUUCACCCUGUUGGAAAAACUUGCUGAAAAUCAAAAACCUAUAUAUGAUAGGCAGGAAACUGUGUGUAGGGAAAGGUAACCUAACCAGGUUAUGGAAAGACUCUAUCAAUGGGUUAACGCCUUUCCAAGAACAAUUCCCAUGCCUGUUUGAUAUUUGUGUUGAUCAAGAUUGUACACUAGAUAAGCUAAGCUCCAUAACCUGUUCUAGCUUU
rnacentral:rRNA from 1 species